rnacentral:rRNA from 1 species
AACGAACGCUGGCGGCAUGCCUAACACAUGCAAGUCGAACGAGACCUUCGGGUCUAGUGGCGCACGGGUGCGUAACGCGUGGGAACCUGCCCUUAGGUUCGGAAUAACUCCCCGAAAGGGGUGCUAAUACCGGAUAAUGUCUGCGGACCAAAGAUUUAUCGCCUUGGGAUGGGCCCGCGUUGGAUUAGCUAGUUGGUAGGGUAAAAGCCUACCAAGGCGACGAUCCAUAGCUGGUCUGAGAGGAUGAUCAGCCACACUGGGACUGAGACACGGCCCAGACUCCUACGGGAGGCAGCAGUGGGGAAUAUUGGACCAUGGGCGAAAGCCUGAUCCAGCAAUGCCGCGUGAGUGAUGAAGGCCUUAGGGUUGUAAAGCUCUUUUACCCGGGAUGAUAAUGACAGUACCGGGAGAAUAAGCUCCGGCUAACUCCGUG